rnacentral:tRNA from 1 species
UCGUUAAGAAGCUUUCAUGGAUAAGCAGUAGCCUUUUAAGCUAAAGACCGGUGAACCACCAAUUACCCUUAAUGAC